CAGCGCAUGCAACCCACCUCUCUCGUUCUCUCCGCACACGCAACCUCUUGCACCGCACGCCAACGCAGCCGCCGCCUCUUCUCUUCCAUCGUCGUCGUCGCCUCGUCGGAUCUGGGGAGAAAGAGAGUGCGAGUCUCCUACCUUCGCCGCGUCCGCGUCCGCAUCACUCUUCCGCGCCCUGGCGCCGCCGCGUCCGCCACUUCUCCUCGCCUUGUCGUCCCCGUCCCUCUCUCAUAGCCGAGCUCCAGCCCUCCACCAUCCCCUCCUCCUUGACCGCCUCUCCCCUCGUCUGAAGGAGCACGGGGCUGGCAGCUGCGCCUGAGCCGCCACAAGGCCGUCAGGUAGAGAAGAUUUGGUGCCACUGGCCGUUCCCACCGCUGUCCGAGUCCGACGUCUCGGAGUUGCCAGAGUCGCCGUCGCCAUACGAAGACGAGUCGGCGGGGAGAUGCUGGUGUUGGGAUUCGGGAGGGUCCAAUCUGCAGCAAAUCCUUGGGAGAUAUGACGGUGUAUUUUGGAAUGCUCGACGGCUUGCUGGCUGCAGAAGAGCUUCCUGAGGAAUACCGGAACCGAUGCCAGGAUAUACUCUGUAACGACUGCGGAAAAAAGGGAUUUCUCGGUUCCACUGGCUGUAUCACAAAUGCGCCGCCUGUGGCUCGUACAACACCAGAGUUAUCAAGACCGAGGCACCAGAUUGUUCCAUGUCGAAUUAACAGGUCCGCCGACGAGGAUGUGGAUGAGGACGAGGUCGAGCCCCUUCCCGGCGCGAUCUCCUUUUGGAGGCUAUUCAACUUCGUCGAUGGCCUCGACUGGGCACUCAUGGCCGCUGGCACAGUCGCCGCCGCCGCCCACGAUGCAGCAUUCGUAGUCUACAUGCACUAAUGGUCCUUGAAUUUUCUCGAUGCUGAGCGGAUUUAGUCUGCUCUACACGGUCGUAGCGACGAGCCCCUCAACCAAUUUAAGCAGGAGUUGAGUGAGUGCACAAGGAUUUGGUGAGGGAUCUCAUCAUGCAGAACUCAAAAACCAGCUAGCUUCCACGUGUUUCUUCCUUGCUUCCUUCCUUUUGUGCAUGUGUUUGUUUGCCAAGCACAUCUGUAGUCCUUCCUACACAUGCGUGUGCGUCUCUGAGCCAGUGUCUACCACCUCGGUGGACAGUAGUACCCAAAUGAUGGCAUAUCGUAGUAUGUAUUAAAUAGGUCUAAUGUAUUGGGACCAGUGCAGGUCAAAUAGCCAUUUACUUCUGCAUAGUGAAAUAAUAUUUACAGAUCCUGUGUUGACUAGGCCUUUUCUUUCUUUAUUAUCUUUGUCAAGCCAAUAUGAUAGUUGUAUGAUUUGUAUCUAUUGGUGGUAGCAUAUUAGCAUCACUAUAAAUAACUAAAUAUACUACUUGUUUUC